ensembl:lncRNA
AAGUGAGCAUCUUCAAACAGUGCUGUGUCCAAGUGGUCUGAGUUCUAUGUUUUGUCCACAGAGCUGCAGCUGGGUCUCAUGGGGCCAAUGCAGAGCGGUGCCGGGGACACGGCGGUCCACGAGGUCACGCUUUUCACAGAUCUCCCCCAGCAGGCGGACAUCCGCAUCACACAGAGUGAUUGAGCCAGGAAUCUCCAAAUACCUUGCACCACCUGCACAAUUUGAUUGAGAUCCUAGGAGCAAGCAUCUUCUUUCCUGAGCUGGAAACAAUCUCGAUGUGGAUGGAUGUGCAACAGACAGAGGAAAACUAGAUGAAGAGCCAGAACACUUUUCAUUGGAAGUGCAGUAAGUAAAGCUCCAGCAGGAGUCUGGGGCGGGGGGGUGAAGAGAAAAGUCU